GGAUGGUAAGUGUGUUAUAGGUGUUACAGCCCCGAGAGCUUGGACAGAAGUUCGGGGCAGCAGCAGCAGCAGGAAGUCUGAAGCCAAGCAUGCAUGUGACUCGUAUUUUGCCACUGCAACAAAGAUCCUGCUGUGUUUUCCGCACAGAGUCACAGCUAAACCAUGUGGGUCACAUUUCACAGUGAUUUCUCUCUACACUGUUGUGUUUUGUAACAAUAUUGCAAGGAUUUCCAAGCAGUGAAAAGAUAGUUUUCUUGCAUUCCCUUUUGCUGCUGGCCUAUCCACCCACGCUUCCCUUUGCUGGUUGUUGUAACAGUUGAGACCUUUCCUUCAGAACUUCUCUCAGUCCCUGGCUUCCCCAGCUCCAUUCGUGCCAAGUAAAUAUGGUUUUCAGGAAGGAGAAAUCUGCUUGGCAAAGGGAAAGGCACUGCAGAGUGAGACCUUCUAUCAAGUGCAACAGAGAUUGCUGCUACACUUUAGCAUAUGCUUAGUAAACCAAAUGUUAAUCACUUUGAGCAGCACAAGCACACUGCAGAAUAAGGGGAGUCUCCUCUGCAACCCACUAUUUUCGUCUUUAAGACUGGAAUUUCAGAGAAGUGUAAUCCCUGAAAGGCUGGAGAUCUCAGGCUUGUGUAACUUGACCCUACAUUGAUACAAGUGCUCCACAAUGCACUUUAAUAACUAUUUUCUUUUACUUGGCUCCCACCCAAAGGUUAGUAAUACCUCGAGACAAGGGAGCGAAGGGUUGGCAUGGUUUUCAGCCCCUGACUUACCUCAUUGAUCAUUUGAACAGCUCUUAUUCCUACCACAGGCUGGGGGAGCAAGAGCACACAGCUCCAUGUGUGUCCACACGGAGAUUUUGCCAGCCACAAAGUCCAGGAGCAGCCCUAAUGAGGAUGGCACCAACCCAUAGGCACCAAGGGAACACUUCCCCGGGACUGGCUGUGCACAUGGGCACUGUUUCCUUCACUCCAGUGACUGAAAAGCUGUGGUGGUCUGAGAGCAGAUGGCAAAAGGCAGAUCUCUCUGUAUAGCAGCUAAAACAGAUACAAAAAUAUCUUGGCCUUCUUACUCAAUUUUAAAAAAAGAAUGCAGCUGUAAAACCUAGGAACUUGUUGUUUUAACUUGAAAACUAUGUUUAACAAGCAAUGCUGUUUAAUUCAUAUGCUGCAAGGAUUUCCACUUCUGCCUGAAAAUUCCUAAAUGUACAGCCUUACAGAGAUAAUCCAUUUUUAAAAAUAGGUAGCUGAGGCUAUUCCCAAGAGGUAGAAGCUUGUGGAUUUACAGUGAAACUGAUUCCAGUGCAAGAAAAAGGAAACAGAUAUUCAGGUUCACCUGAUAUGCACAACACCAGUGACAACUUCUCCACUAAUAAAAGACAUGACACAAUUAGAUUGCUAACCCUUCCACAUUGGGAGUUUAUCAAAAGAGGCCAGGACUUUAAAUGGAAUGAGAAGAAUUUAAACUGAAUUCUGUUACAGAAUUCUCCUAUUUUCUAUCUUUGUCUGAAGCUCUGUUGAAAAAGACCACCUGCCUCAGAUCUAGGUGCAAACUGCCUUAAUAGAAAAGCUUUGAUAUUAUAGUAAAAGGUGAGUCAAUACUGUGAAGGAGCACUCCUGUGAAAGGUAUCACAAGUUAACUAAUGGAAUUGGGACAGGAAAAGCACUCAGGAGGAACUGAAUUAAACAAAUAAAGGUUUUGCAUUAUUUUUUGGUAUCAUGUAAUGGGUGCCAAAAGACAGCAGGGCCAGAACACAAAUUCUGAACUAGGACUAGAAAAGAGAACAGUUGGCAAAUAGAAAAGAGAAAAAGAAAGCCAAGGACAGUAGGAAGGAAAAAUGCCAAACAGGGACUUUAAAUGGGGAAACAAAACUGAUGUUUUUCGCAGUGAGCAAGAUGGCACAAUUUCUACUGCCUUUAAAAUAGAUUUGAAAACACUACCUAUUACAGGGCUUUGGUCCAUUUCACAGAGAACAUAUGGUCCAAAUACCAAGCAGAUACAAUUUCAAAGUAGCCUCAGCCUAACAGGCAUUUGAAAUGCCAGGGGGAAAACUGAAGAGCUCCCCAGGUUUAAGUCUCCUGCCAUUUGAAGAUGCUCACUGGGAGCCCACACUGCCACAGCAAGGAUCCUCCAUGUGUUUGAAGCACGUAAGCUCUGGUGAGGGACAAAGAACAUUUGCUGUUAUUUUCCUGAAUCAUCUGCUAUCCUGUGCUAAGCACUUUAAAACCACUUCUUCUUAUGACAAAUCAGCCAAGUAUCAAGGAGCACCCAGUCUAAUGGGAAACCUGGAAUUCUUCCCAGGCUCCAAAUGUGCCCGAUGCAGCAAAAGAGCGGACACUGCUACCCCAGCUCAUGCACCCUGAAUUGUCACAGCAACAAUGACCCUUCUCCACACAUCCCAGAGAAUCUCUGGCAAGUAUCUGUCUACUAAACCAGCCAACUUUUCUUUUAAGGGACUCAAAGGGCAGGAGAUGUUGAGAAAGAACUAUGGAGACAGUAAAAAAGCCCAAAGAAUAUUGUAUAAAUAUUUAACACGCUUUUCCCAAGCACUACCAAGGUGCAUGUAAAUGUCCAUGUAUUAUGUAGAGGCAGUGUAAUCUGGCUUAAUCAAGAGCUGGAGUGGAAGGAAUAAAAAAGGAGUUGUGAAGAUUUAAGGAAACCUGAAAUCUAAGAUAACGGUACCACUGGCAAAGAGUAUAGCAGUUUAUUUUCUCUAGACUGGCCUCAGAAUAUUUAAUUUUGGUGCUGUUCAUCUUCAAGGCCAGCCAGCCACCUCAUAAAAAUGUGUUCACAAGCCAUCAUUUACCCCCAGAUUCUUAACCAGGACACAGGAAAGGUUCCAUUUAAAAAUCAUUUUAUUAUUAACAUAAUCUUCCCAUUUAGCCAAGUCUGGGUUCAUGUAUAAGGAAUGUCGGUAAAUAUUCCAUUUGAGGCUUCUUUUUACAUAUUUCCAUUGAUAAAUAAACUCUGAAUUCACAUAAAAAAGUUAAACUUAAAUAACUAAUAUAUUUUUUGUAACAGGCAUACAUUGGUAAAAUAUAAAUAUUCUUGUACUCAGCCUUUGCUCUAGAUAACAGUUAGCCACACAUCACAGUUAUUAACAACUAAAAACAAGAACUCAACUGAUUUUCUGGCCUGGACUAAAAUAGAGAUGGAAACAGAAAAUUCACAUUUUGACUUUGGGCCAAAAGAGGUUGAGAGGCAGGAAGAGAACAGUUUUAUUAACA